rnacentral:rRNA from 1 species
AACGAACGCUGGCGGCAUGCCUAACACAUGCAAGUCGAACGAGACCUUCGGCUCUAGUGCCGUACGGGUUCGUAACGCGUGGUAACCUGCCCUUAAGCUCCGAAUAACUCCCCGAAAGGGGUCCUAAUAUCGGAUAAUGUCUUCGUACCAAAGAUUUAUCGCCUUUGGAUGUUCCCGCGUUGCAUUAGCUAGUUGGUAUGGUAAAAGCCUACCAAGGCGACGAUCCAUAGGUGGUCUGAGAGGAUGAUCAGCCGCACUGGGACUGAGACACGACUCAUACUACUGCGGGUGGCGGCGAUGAGGACUCUUGGGCAGUGGGCGAAAGGCUGAUACCGCUAUGUCGGGAGAGAGAUGAAGGACUGGGAGAAGUCUAGCACGUUUACCCGGGAUGAUAAUGACAGUACCGGGAGAAUAAGCGCCGGCUAACGGCGUG